GACGAACGCUGGCGGCGUGCUUAACACAUGCAAGUCGAACGGAAAGGCCCUGCUUUUGUGGGGUGCUCGAGUGGCGAACGGGUGAGUAACACGUGAGUAACCUGCCCUUGACUUUGGGAUAACUUCAGGAAACUGGGGCUAAUACCGGAUAGGAGCUCCUGCUGCAUGGUGGGGGUUGGAAAGUUUCGGCGGUUGGGGAUGGACUCGCGGCUUAUCAGCUUGUUGGUGGGGUAGUGGCUUACCAAGGCUUUGACGGGUAGCCGGCAUGAGAGGGGGACCGGCCACAUUGGGACUGAGAUACGGACCAGACUCCUACGUGAGGCAGCAGUGGGGAAUAUUGCACAAUGGGCGGAAGCCUGAUGAAGCAACGCCGCGUGCGGGAUGACGGUCUUCGGGUUGUAAACCGCUUUCGCCUGUGACGAAGCGUGAGUGACGGUAAUGGGUAAAGAAGCACCGGCUAACUACGUG
rnacentral:rRNA from 1 species